rnacentral:lncRNA from 1 species
AAUGAGUACAUCUUGUCCUAGAUGGAGGUGUUCUGUAGCAGCCCAGGGGCAGAGAGCUGACUCACCAGACAACAGACACAGUAGCAGUGACCAGCAUAUGACUGCUCUCAGAGAGGAGACGGUAUUGGACUAUGCUUCUAAAUUAUGUACCAUACUGCUGCAUUGAUUCAGGCAGGCCUUUGUUUGAAGAAUGUAUUGAGAUAUUGAGGGAAGCUGGCAUAUGAAGUGGAGAAGGA